rnacentral:rRNA from 1 species
UACGGAGGGUGCAAGCGUUAUCCGGAAUCAUUGGGUUUAAAGGGUCCGCAGGCGGAUUUAUAAGUCAGUGGUGAAAGCCUACAGCUCAACUGUAGAACUGCCAUUGAUACUGUAAGUCUUGAAUUCGGUCGAAGUGGGCGGAAUGUGUAGUGUAGCGGUGAAAUGCUUAGAUAUUACACAGAACACCGAUAGCGAAGGCAGCUCACUAGGCCUGGAUUGACGCUCAGGGACGAAAGCGUGGGGAGCAAACAGG